rnacentral:rRNA from 1 species
GACGAACGCUGGCGGCGUGCUUAACACAUGCAAGUCGAACGGAAAGACCCUGCUUUUGUGGGGUGCUCGAGUGGCGAACGGGUGAGUAACACGUGAGUAACCUGCCCUUGACUUUGGGAUAACUUCAGGAAACUGGGGCUAAUACCGGAUAGGAGCUCCUGCUGCAUGGUGGGGGUUGGAAAGUUUCGGCGGUUGGGGAUGGACUCGCGGCUUAUCAGCUUGUUGGUGGGGUAGUGGCUUACCAAGGCUUUGACGGGUAGCCGGCCUGAGAGGGUGACCGGCCACAUUGGGACUGAGAUACGGCCCAGACUCCUACGGGAGGCAGCAGUGGGGAAUAUUGCACAAUGGGCGGAAGCCUGAUGCAGCAACGCCGCGUGCGGGAUGACGGCCUUCGGGUUGUAAACCGCUUUCGCCUGUGACGAAGCGUGAGUGACGGUAAUGGGUAAAGAAGCACCGGCUAACUACAUG